rnacentral:other from 1 species
GCGGGGCUGCGGGGUUUGUUAGGGGUCUUUUCCCCGGGGCCUUAUCGAUCCUGAAGGGAGCUGUCCCUGGCCGGGCCCGUGGGCCCGGUCACAUGGCGCCCACCUACCAUGGUAGGGAACCCGGGAUCGCUUACUCCGACGGCUUUCGCGGCUCCGCA